GUAGUCUCGCACAGAUGCAUAUCAAUAAGCGGAGGAAAAGAAACUAACAAGGAUUCCCUCAGUAACGGCGAGUGAAGCGGGAAGAGCUCAAAUUUGAAAUCUUGAAAGGUCACCUUUCACGAAUUGUAGUUUAAAGAAGUGUUUUCUGUUACGAUCGUAAUAUAAGUUCUUUGGAAUAGGACAUCACAGAGGGUGAGAAUCCCGUCUAUGAUUGCGAUUUGUAGCUUUGUGAUACACUUUCAAAGAGUCGGGUUGUUUGGGAAUGCAGCCCAAAACGGGAGGUAAAUUUCAUCUAAGGCUAAAUAUUGGCGAGAGACCGAUAGCGAACAAGUACCGUGAGGGAAAGAUGAAAAGAACUUUGAAAAGAGAGUUAAACAGUACGUGAAAUUGUCAAAAGGGAAGCGUUUAACACCAGUGUUGUUUUCUGAAAAUCAACCUCUGUUAGCUUUAUGCAUGUUUGUUUAGACCUAAUCAGCUAUCUUGCAUGUUCUAUUGUUUGCAGUGGUGCACCUUUCAGUUCACAGGUCAACAUCAGUUUUUUUUACCGUAAAAAAGUUAAAGAAAGGUAGCUCAUGGCUCCGGUCGUGAGUGUUAUAGUCUUUUUCCUAUGCGGUAGGAGAGACUGAGGUCUGCAGUGUAGGCUAUUUGGCUAGAUACUCAGGUGCUAUGUGAUACCAUUUCAUAAACAACUUGUUGAUUAUGUUUUGUCUAUUGCAUACUCGCUUGUACUAUCAUACCUACGCUUAGGAUGUUGAAGAUGUAGCACAUCAU
rnacentral:rRNA from 1 species